AUUGAACGCUGGCGGCAUGCCUUACACAUGCAAGUCGAACGGCAGCACGGGAGCAAUCCUGGUGGCGAGUGGCGAACGGGUGAGUAAAGUAUCGGAACGUGCCCAGUCGUGGGGGAUAACGUAGCGAAAGUUACGCUAAUACCGCAUACGAUCUAUGGAUGAAAGCGGGGGAUCGCAAGACCUCGCGCGAUUGGAGCGGCCGAUAUCAGAUUAGGUAGUUGGUGGGGUAAAGGCCCACCAAGCCGACGAUCUGUAGCUGGUCUGAGAGGACGACCAGCCACACUUGGACUGAGACACGGCCAAGACUCCUACGGGGGGCAUCAGUGGGGAAUUUUGGACAAUGGGCGAAAGCCUGAUCCAGCCAUGCCGCGUGCAGGAUGAAGGCCUUCGGGUUGUAAACUGCUUUUGUACGGAACGAAAAGGACUGCCCUAAUACGGUGGUCCCAUGACGGUACCGUAAGAAUAAGCACCGGCUAACUACGUGCCAGCCGCCGCCGUAA
rnacentral:rRNA from 1 species